UACGGAGGGUGCGAGCGUUGUUCGGAAUCACUGGGCGUAAAGGGCGUGUAGGCGGUCCGCUAAGUCUGAUGUGAAAGCCCGGGGCUCACCCCCGGAAGGGCAUUGGAAACUGACGGACUCGAGUCCCGAAGAGGAGGGUGGAAUUCCUGGUGUAGCGGUGAAAUGCGUAGAUAUCAGGAGGAACACCGGUGGCGAAGGCGGCCCUCUGGACGGUGACUGACGCUGAGACGCGAAAGCGUAGGGAGCAAACAGG
rnacentral:rRNA from 1 species